rnacentral:misc_RNA from 1 species
UUGAUCUCCAACAUCCACAACCUUCUUCAUUCAUGUUAUAUGAUCUUAGAUAUAGAGCUUCAGACACAUCUUUCCUUGGAUCGAAGUAAAGAUGAAGAAUAUGGCAUGACAUUAUUUCUCCCUCCACAAAUGAAAUUUUGCAGCUGUACNNUGGAGUGUUCCAUUUUUUUUAAUCUAACAAAUGGGUUUUAUAGCCUUCCUUUUCUUCCACG